rnacentral:rRNA from 1 species
AAUAUCGGUCACUGGAGGCAACUCUGAACCAGCGACGUCGCGUGAAGGAUGACGGCCCUUCGGGUUGUAAACUUCUUUUAUACAGGAAUAAAGUGAGUCGAGUGUGACUCUUUGCAUGUACUGUAUGAAUAAGGAUCGGCUAACUCCGUGGCAGCAGCCGCGGUAAUACGGCGGAUCCAAGCGUUAUCCGGAUUUAUUGGGUUUAAAGGGUGCGCAGGCGGAAGAUUAAGUCGUCGGUGAAAUUUUGCAGCUCAACUGUAAAAGUGCCAUCGAUACUGGUUUUCUUGAGUGUGGAUGAAGUAGGCGGAAUUUGUGGUGUAGCGGUGAAAUGCAUAGAUAUCACAAGGAACUCCGAUUGCGCAGUCAGCUUACUAGGCCAUAACUGACGCUCAGGCACGAAGGCGUGGGGAUCAAACAGG